rnacentral:rRNA from 1 species
CAGUAGCCGCGGGAAUACGUAGGGGGCGAGCGUUGUCCGAAGUUACUGGGCGUAAAGCGCGCGUAGGCGGCUUCUUAAGUCUGAGGUGAAAGGUUCAACGCUUAACGUGAACAGUGCCUUGGAUACUGGGGAGCUUGAGUAUGGGAGAGGGCAGUGGAAUGGCUGGUGUAGCGGUGAAAUGCGUAGAUAUCAGUCGGAACACCCAUGGCGAAGGCAGCUGCCUGGCCUAAUACUGACGCUGAGGUGCGAAAGCGUGGGGAACGAACGGGAUUAGAUACCCCCGUAGUCCCUGUCUCUUAUA